UCCUUAGAUGUUCUGGGCUGCACGCGCGCUACACUUAUGCGCUCAACGAGUUUAUGACCUUGCCCGGAAGGGUUGGGUAAUCUUCUUAAAACGCAUCGUGAUGGGGAUAGAUUAUUGCAAUUAUUAAUCUUCAACGAGGAAUUCCUAGUAAGCGCGAGUCAUCAGCUCGUGCUGAUUACGUCCCUGCCCUUUGUACACACCGCCCGUCGCUCCUACCGAUUGAUUGAUCCGGUGAAUUACAUAGAAUUUUGCGUUUUACAUGACGGAAGACGAAGUGUUUUAAACCUUAUCAUUUAGAGGAAGGAGAAGUCGUAACA
rnacentral:rRNA from 1 species